GACGAACGCUGGCGGCGUGCUUAACACAUGCAGGUCGAACGGAAAGGCCCUGCUUUUGUGGGUUGCUCGAGUGGCGAACUGGUGAGUAACACGUGAGUAACCUGCCCUUGACUUUGGUAUAACUUCAGGAAACUGUGUCUAAUACCGGAUAGGAUCUCCUGCUGCAUGGUGGUGGUUGGAAAGUUUCGGCGGUUGGGGAUGGACUCGCGGCUUAUCAGCUUGUUGGUGGGGUAGUGGCUUACCAAGGCUUUGACGGGUAGCAGGCAUGAGAGGGUGACCGGAAAAAUUGGGAGUGAGAGAAGGAACAGAAUGAAAGGGGAGGAAGCAGUGGGGAAGAGGGAAAAAUGGGAGGAAGAAAGAUGAAGAAAAGAGGGGGGAGGGAUGAAGGGAUUCGGGUUGUAAAAAGAUUUCGAAUGUGACGAAGAGAGAGUGACGGUAAUGGGUAAAGAAGCACCGGCUAACUACGUG
rnacentral:rRNA from 1 species